UACGUAGGGUGCGAGCGUUGUCCGGAAUUAUUGGGCGUAAAGGGCUCGUAGGCGGUUUGUCGCGUCGGGAGUGAAAACCCAGGGCUUAACCCUGGGCUGGCUUCCGAUACGGGCAGACUAGAGGUAUGCAGGGGAGAACGGAAUUCCGUGGUGGUAGCGGGUGAAAUGCGCAGAUAAUCAGGAGGAACACCGGUGGCGAAGGCGGUUCUCUGGGCAUUACCUGACCGCUGAGGAGCGAAAGUGUGGGGAGCGAACAG
rnacentral:rRNA from 1 species